rnacentral:lncRNA from 1 species
CACCGUUUGUCCGUCAUCUGUCCACUGCUGGACUCAGAUUGGUCAUCAUGCCAGCAUUUAUCAGAAGCUUGUGCCAUGAUGCCACCCCCUGAUCUGACUUUUCAAGCCCACUCCACGUCCCUCAGAGACUUUUAGGGACAGACCUCAAGAUCAACCCCUGAGACAUCAUGCAAGAAAACUCCAGUACAUGUGUUUGUGUGCCUCCCUUUUUUAUGCACUCCUAACGCAACAGAACUGAUGUUGCGUAACGCAAAUAAGACCCCUGAUAGUUAUUAUUCUAGACCUCAAUCUCCUGAUAUGACACACAAUUUUUAAAUAUCAUUUUUCGUUGGUACUUCUUGUGGUUGGAAGCUGUUAUUGUGCAAUGACCCAGUGCUCUGAUAGGCAACUGCUGAUUGUGGGCUCAGAAUACGGAUAUUGUUAGGCAGAAAGAGAGAUGUGGGCUCCAAAAACAAGAAAACCGCACAUUGUGUCCAGGUGCACCUCAUACAGUUGUCAUGGUUUUGAGCUUGAUCAAACAGAGUGUAGGAAGACCAAAGUCCACACCAAUGGUUUGGUCAGCAAACAGCUUAUCAUAAACUGUAACUUUUGUCUGAGGACACACAGAAUUAGAUCAUUUCAGCACUCUUAGUCUCUAUUAAAUAUUCUUUUUAUAGGACA